rnacentral:rRNA from 1 species
GACGAACGCUGGCGGCGUGCCUAAUACAUGCAAGUUGAGCGCUGAAGGUUGGUACUUGUACCAACUGGAUGAGCAGCGAACGGGUGAGUAACGCGUGGGGAAUCUGCCUUUGAGCGGGGGACAACAUUUGGAAACGAAUGCUAAUACCGCAUAAAAACUUUAAACACAAGUUUUAAGUUUGAAAGAUGCAAUUGCAUCACUCAAAGAUGAUCCCGCGUUGUAUUAGCUAGUUGGUGAGGUAAAGGCUCACCAAGGCGAUGAUACAUAGCCGACCUGAGAGGGGGAGCGGCCAAACUGGAACGGAGACAGGGUCCAGACUCCUACGGGAGGCCGCAGCGGGGAAGAUUGCACAAUGGGAGAAAGCGUGACGCAGUAAGGCCGGGGAAGGGAAGAAGGUCUGCGGAUCGGAAAACCCUGUGGUUAGGAAAGAACAAAAGAGGAAGAACAUCUACACGUCAUGACGGGACCUAAUCAGGAAGCCACGGCUAACUUCGUG